rnacentral:tRNA from 1 species
GCGGCGGGCGCCGGGGCCGCGGUCGCCGGUGCCGCCGGUGCGGGUUCGUGCGGUACGGCACCGGGUUCGAUGGCCGCGGCCGCC